rnacentral:rRNA from 1 species
AUGUCCCGGCUUAACUACGGGAUCAUCUCCUUGAUUCUCAAGGUGUCGGGUGCCGCUGGCAUUAGGAAAUUCUGGCCUAUCACAGUCCUCAAUGUGAUUUUUUGGAUUGCCAAGGGGUAUGCCACUAGGGCGACCCUAAUCGCUCCCCGGAUCCACCAGCCAAACUAGUCGGCCUUCGCGUAGGGCAGGUAUAUCCUGGAUGGGAUCCUCGUCCUCCACGAGAUCAUCCACGAGGUCAAGAGCAAGCACCUUCGCGUUGUGUUCUUCAGGAUUGAUUUCCAUAAAGCAUACGACAUCAUCCACUAGUCCUUCCUUCGGGAGGUGAUGCUCAAGCGUGGGUUUGAUGCCCACUAG